GGAACGAUCCUGCAUUGUCGGGGAAAGGAUACAGAUGGGUCUUUUUCUACAGCCCUGAAAAAGGCUGAUACCUGCACACACGGGCACGACUUAAAAUAGAACUUGUCAGAUAGUGAUCGUCUUUGGAUCAAGCACGGAACAAAAAACAGCUCUUGAACUCACCUCCCAGCCCAUAAAAGCUGCACUGUGUGACUCUGUGGGGUAGUUUGAUGGGAACGACAAAUCCCACACUUUAAAAAUCCGUGAGGAUUCUCAGAGGGAAACUCUUACCUCAGCCUCAGUCUUUGGAAAUACGACUCCUGUUAAUGUACCCUCACAUCAAAUUAGAUUGGCAGCUACUUGAAGGCAGGCACUAUGACUUUCUCACAAAAUCCUCAGCAAUAUAGUGUGCUUAGUGACUGAUACAUGGACUUUGGAGACCAAGGGACUCUGUGUUGGGAUCUGAAGCAUCUGCUCCUGCUUGAUGUGGCUACCCAACUUUGUAUUCUUGAUUAAUAAAAUCAUAAAUAUAAUCUAA